rnacentral:tRNA from 1 species
UCCAGCCUCGUCUAAUGGCAGGACGACACGCUCUGGACGUGUAGAUUGAGGUUCGAUUCCUUGGGCUGGAACCA